GAUGAACGCUGGCGGCGUGCCUAAUACAUGCCAGUCGAGCGAACAGACGAGGAGCUUGCCUCUCUGACGUUAGCGGCGGACGGGUGAGUAACACGUGGAUAACCUACCUAUAAGACUGGGAUAACUUCGGGAAACCGGAUCUAACACCGGAUAAGAUAUUGAACGGCAGGGUUCAAUAGUGAAAGACGGUUUUGCUGUCACUUAUAGAUGGAUCCGCGCCGCAUUAGCUAGUUGGUAAGGUAACGGCCUACCAAGGCAACGAUGCGUAGCCGACCUGAGAGGGUGAUCGGCCACACUGGAACUGAGACACGGUCCAGACUCCUACGGGAGGCAGCAGUAGGGAAUCUUCCGCAAUGGGCGAAAGCCUGACGCAGCCACGCCGCGUGAGUGAUGAAGGUCUUCGGAUCGUAAAACUCUUUUAGUAGGGAAGAACAAAUGUGUAAGUAUCUAUGCACGUCUUGACGGUACCUACACAGAAAGCCCCGGCUAACUACGUG
rnacentral:rRNA from 1 species